rnacentral:rRNA from 1 species
CGGUAAGACGGUUUGUAUCCUCGGCGUCAGGAUGAACGGCUGGCGGGCGUUGGCUUAACUACAUAGUCCAAGUCGAGGCGAAGUCACGUUUCUUCGGGAAGUUUUCGGUAGUGGAAGAGGGGAGUUGACUGAGCGGCGGACGGGUGAGUAACGCGUGGGACCUGCCUCAUACAGGGGAAUAACAGUUAGAAAUGACUGCUAAUGCCGCAUAAGCGCACACUGUGGCAUCACAGGGUGUGAAAAACUCCGGUGGUAUGAGAUGGCCCCGCGUCUGAUUAGGCAGUUGGCGGGGUAACGGCCCACCAAACCGACGAUCAGUAGCCGACCUGAGAGGGUGACCGGCCACACUGGGACUGAGACACGGCCCAAACUCCUACGGGAGGCAGCAGUGGGGAAUAUUGCACAAUGGGGGAAACCCUGAUGCAGCGACGCCGCGUGGGUGACGAAGUAUUUCGGUAUGUAAAGCCCUAUCAGCAGGGAAGAAGAUGACAGUACCUGACCAAGAAGCCCCGGCUAACUACGUG